GCCAAAUAGCUACGUUGGUAGAGCAUUAGUCUACGAAUCCAGAGGCCGCCGGUUCAAUUCCGGUUGCAGCAACU